UACGUAGGGGGCAAGCGUUGUCCGGAUUUAUUGGGCGUAAAGAGCUCGUAGGCGGUUUGGUAAGUCUGGUGUGAAAUCUCCACGCUCAACGUGGAGGGGCCACCCGAUACUGCCAUGGCUGGAGUCCGGUAGAGGAGUGUGGAAUUCCCGGUGUAGCGGUGAAAUGCGCAGAUAUCGGGAGGAACACCCGUAGCGAAGGCGGCACUCUGGGCCGGUACUGACGCUGAGGAGCGAAAGCGUGGGGAGCAAACAGG
rnacentral:rRNA from 1 species